UCGGCUGGUUAAAAAAAGGGGCGUUGUCAUUGAUAUCCAGAACCCUAACGAUGAUACUGGCUGUGCCUGAGCGUGCAGGGACCCCGCCAUCUACAGCGGUGCCAAGAGCAGAGGACUCUGCUGUGCACCAAUGGGGCUCCUGCUCUGGCUAGAGCAGGUCCGCCUCCAACUCUGCGGGACCAUUCAGAAGACGAGACGACAAGACUCCACCUACAUUAUUCCAUGUGUAAAAUCUGCUGCAACCUCUGUCUAGGCAGCCUUUUCAGCUGACUCCUUACUGAGUCAUAUGACUAGGUCCGUGCACGCUUUACUGCCGGACAAGAUAUCUUUGACUCAAUAAACUGCCUUUUUUUGUUACAACUGAAUCCACUCUGUCCAGCGUCCAUGAUUUGGUCUCACUCUCCAGUAUUUGUACACCAACACCAGGAGGGGAUCUGCAGCUUGCCGCCAUGUGCGAGAGGAGAGGUCUGCUGCUCUGCGUGAUGUUUUCUAGGAUGGGGUCUAACAAUGAGGCAAUCCGCAUGGGAGGCAAUCCUUGUGCAGGAGAUAUUCACCUGCUACUUUUUUGAAUAGGGUGCUGUUCCCUGGCAACACCAUAGACUACACUAUGCACAACCAACAAACAAAGGCUCUUUUAAGAGCCAUCCAUAUUGCAUUAAGAGUAUUCUUUCAUUUACUUAGCUAUGUCAACUUCAGUUAUUAAAUUCCCAGUUUUUCUCCCAUUGAUUUCUACUUCUCAGGUGAGGGUGCUGUUUUAAGAGUCACCCAGGCUAUUUUAAGAGUCACCCAUAUUGAAAAGAUUUAGAACAAUUAGACACCCUAUAACCCACACCUAUGCAUUCAUGUAUCAAUCUGAUAAAUUGUGUUGUGCAAUAAGCAGGCUCAGUUGUAUAACUGUGGCUCCUUCCACCUUCAAAUAAUAGUUCAGAGGACCAACCAUGGAGAAUAGUUAGACACUUCAUUAUUUCUAUUUAUAUAACUAUGCCAUAUUGUUUGCCUCGCAUGUCUGUGCAUGUUUUUCAGUAUAAUGUACCCUGCAGCCACUGAUUGUGGACACCAGGUGAGGUCCCACACACACACAUUCCUGUUGAACAGUCUCUGUAACUACCUUGUUUUCUCAAUAACAGUCUCUCUCCUUCACUUCAUCCCUCUCCUCCUUCUCCCUAAAUCCUCUAGGUUAUAUCAGCUGUGUCGGUGAACCCCUCCUGCAUCUGAACUGCAUGACACAUAGAGGGCACAGCAUGAUCAGAGAUAUGUUUUGAUGUGAGAGAGAAUGCCAACCCCCAGUCUCGUCAUCGCCACCUCAUCCGCUCUUAAAAUAACCUUCAGGCCAACUGGGGGCCCAAGGCUGGUUAGGAGACACCACUAGAGACACUGAUAUGUAAUUGUGAUGACCUGAGAGAAUUGUAGCACUGAAUUGUAGCAUUGUAAUUAAUUAAUCAUAUGCUGUCUUCCCUGCUCCUCUGUUCUUACCUGUUUCUCUUUCUGUCUUUGACACUCUUUCUCGCACCUCUCUCCCCAGUUUUACAGCACUCUAGCCGAAGCUUGACAUUGCACAUGGUGAUCUUAGGCUUGUGUGCGGCUGCUCGGCCAUAGAAAUCCAUUUCAUAAAGCACCCAUUGAACAGGUCUUGUGCUGAUGUUGCUUCCAGAGGCAGUUUGGAACUCGGUAGUGAGUGUUGCAACUGAGGACAGACUAUUUUUACGCGCUACGCGGUUCAGCGGUCUAAUUCUGUGAGCAAGUGUGGCCUACCACUUCGCAGCUGAGCCGUUGUUGCUCCUAGAAGUUUCCACUUCACAAAGCAGCACUUACAGUUGACUGGGAUAGCUCUAGCAGGGCAGAAAUUUGACGAACUGACUUGUUGGAAAGGUGGAUCUAAUGACAGAGCCACGUUUAACGUUACUGAGCUCUUCAGUAACAGUGCAAAGCUGUCAUCAAGGCAAAGGGUGGCUAGUUUGA